rnacentral:tRNA from 1 species
GGCGCUGUGGCUUGGUUGGUUAAAGCGCCUGUCUAGUAAACAGGAGAUCCUGAGUUCUGCUCUCAGCAAUGCCU